rnacentral:rRNA from 1 species
CGUAGGUGGCGAGCGUUAUCCGGAUUUAUUGGGUUUAAAGGGUGCGUAGGCGGCUUAAUAAGUCGGUGGUUAAAAGUAGCAGCUUAACUGUUUACAUGCCAUCGAUACUGUUGAGCUUGAGAUAUUUGGAGGCAGCUAGAAUUUCCGGUGUAGCGGUGAAAUGCAUAGAUACCGGAAGGAAUACCAAUUGCGAAGGCAGGUUGCUACGAAUAAACUGACGCUGAUGCACGAAAGCGUGGGGAUCAAACAGGAUU